AGGCGACCUACAUCCUCAGCUUAUGAAGAUGACAAGAUUAAGAGAUUAAAGACAGGCAUAAGAAAUCAAAAGAGUAUUGAUUAAGGAAGUGAGAGUGUGAAGAGGAGGAGAAAGGCUAAGAUCUUUUCCAAUGCAAAAUUAGGAAAAAAUAUACUAUAGAUUUAUGAAAAAAUAAGAAGUGAAAGUAUUCUCUGACUGCAAGUAUGACCACCUGUCUUUCUAUAUCAGCAGCCUGAAAAGCUGAUGUAAUGACUGGAUCUUCAGCAGCCAUCUUGAGCAACAGGUAGAAGCUAGAGGCUGAGGAAUGAUGGAGCA